rnacentral:misc_RNA from 1 species
GAUGAAGAACGCAGCGAAAUGCGAUAAGUAAUGUGAAUUGCAGAAUUCAGUGAAUCAUCGAAUCUUUGAACGCACCUUGCGCCCUUUGGCAUUCCGAAGGGCAUGCCUGUUUGAGUAUCAUGAACACCUCAACUCUUCAUGGUUUUCCAUGAUGAGCUUGGACUUUGGGGGUCUUGCUGGCCUGCGGUCGGCUCCUCUCAAAUGAAUCAGCUUACCAGUGUUUGGUGGGCAUCACAGGUGUGAUAACUAUCUGCGCUUGUGGUUUUCCACCAAGUAACCUUCAGCAGUGGAGGUUCACUGGAGCUCACAGACGUCUCUCCUCAGUGAGGACAGCCCUUUGAAUGUUUGAUCUCAAAUCAGGUAGGACUACCCGCUGAACUUAAGCAUAUCAAUAAGCGGAGGA